rnacentral:rRNA from 1 species
GACGAACGCUGGCAGCGUGCCUAAUACAUGCAAGUCGAGCGGACAGAAGGAAGCUUGCUCCCGGAAGUUAGCGGCGGACGGGUGAGUAACACGUGGGCAACCUACCCUGUAGAUCGGGAUAACAUCGAGAAAUCGGUGCUAAUACCGGAUAAUCAUUUGAAGUGCAUGCUUCGAAUGUAAAAGAUGGCUCCGGCUAUCACUACGGGAUGGGCCCGCGGCGCAUUGGCUAGUUGGUAAGGUAAUGGCUUACCAAGGCAACGAUGCGUAGCCGACCUGAGAGGGUGAUCGGCCACACUGGGACUGAGACACGGCCCAGACCCCUACGGGAGGCAGCAGUAGGGAAUCUUCCGCAAUGGACGAAAGUCUGACGGAGCAACGCCGCGUGAGUGAUGAAGGUUUUCGGAUCGUAAAGCUCUGUUGUUAGGGAAGAACAAGUGCCGUUUGAAUAAGGCGGCACCUUGACGGUACCUAACCAGAAAGCCACGGCUAACUACGUGCCAGCCGCCGCGGUAAUAC